CUAAGGCUCCGGAGGAAGCCACGGCUAACUCUGUGCCAGCAGCCGCGGUAAUACAGAGGCGGCAAGCGUUGUUCGGAAUUAUUGGGCGUAAAGAGCACGUAGGCGGCUAUGUAAGUCGGUUGUGAAAGCCUUCCGCUCAACGGAAGAACAGCAUCCGAUACUACAUGGCUUGAGUGCGGGAGGGGAGAGUGGAACUUCUGGUGGAGCGGUGAAAUGCGUAGAUAUCAGAAGGAACGCCGGCGGCGAAAGCGGCCCUCUGGCCCAUAACUGACGCUGAGUGUGCGAAAGCUAGGGGAGCAAACGGGAUUAGAUACCCCGGUAGUCCUAGCCGUAAA
rnacentral:rRNA from 1 species